GCACUUGGGCAACAGCAGUUUGAUGAAGCCAAGCUGUGUUGGUAUCAUGCUAUUGGAACCAAGCUGGAUUUAGAAAAUGGACCCUCUGAGGAGGUCCUUGACCUUUAUAACAAGGCUGAGGACAGCAUGGAGAAAGGCGUGCAGAUGUUGGAAGAGAUGGAGGAGCAGCGUCUAAAUGGGCUUUCCAAAUUUGACAAAUACAAAGCNNNNNNNNGCAAAAAUUUGGUCUGGAUGGGCUAUUGAAAGAUGUAUCUGCUGAAGAAGCAGCAGAGCAGGCAG
rnacentral:misc_RNA from 1 species